rnacentral:lncRNA from 1 species
AGGACAAUUCGAGCCCUGGGCGAGACUGAGACUUACAAUGUCAAGCAGGGGAACGAAGGCAUGAUCGGCGGUCGAUUCUCAAGUAAACGAGUGAGCCCAGGAGGACCUGAUGCUCAACACCACUGAUAAAACAAUGAAGAUUUUGUGUGAGAGGUAGACAGUUUUCAUAACCUGCUAUAAGAAGUCUCCUGCAAGUCUAGAUUAGACCGUG